rnacentral:rRNA from 1 species
GCUGGCGGCGUGCCUAACACAUGCAAGUCGAACGGGAACCCUUGGAUUCGUCUGGGGGGGAGAGUGGCGGACGGGUGAGUAACAUGUAGGUUGACCUGCCCCAAAGCGGGGAAUAACCAUUGGAAACGGUGGCUAAUACCCCAUGUGCUCGAUGGUUCGGUCCAUCGAGUAAAGCUCCGGCGCUUUGGGAGGGGCCUGCGGCCCAUCAGGUAGUUGGUAGGGUAAUGGCCUACCAAGCCAAUGACGGGUAGGGGGCGUGAGAGCGUGAUCCCCCACACUGGCACUGAGACACGGGCCAGACUCCUACGGGAGGCAGCAGUGAGGAAUAUUGCCCAAUGGACGCAAGUCUGAGGCAGCAACGCCGCGUGAGCGAUGAAGGCCUUCGGGUUGUAAAGCUCUUUUCUGGGGGACGAGGAAGGACGGUACCUCAGGAAUAAGUCACGGCUAACUACGUGCCGGCAGCCGCGGUAAUACGUAGGUGGCGAGCGUUAUCCGGAUUUACUGGGCGUAAAGCGCGUGUAGGCGGUUUCGUAAGUCGGAUGUGAAAGCUCCUGG